CACUAAUCUUGCUCUAAAUGACCGCCAGUCAGCCUCAAGGUAAGGCUGGCUUUCAUCACCAGCCGAUGACGACGAUGAUGAUAAAUGACAACAUGUUACAGAAGAUGAAAGACCAAGUUUUUUGGAAAGAAAAUGAGCAGGACUUCUCUUGGGGUAGGAGAAUACUCUAGCUUGGAUAGAGGGGACAAGCUCAAUGGUUUUGGUAAAUGAGUUACAGGAUAGAAAGCAAGUUUCCAUGCUUUCUCUUUUUUCUUUUUUUUUUUUUGCCCUUUC
rnacentral:misc_RNA from 1 species